CAGGAACCCUCUAGCAUGUGGUGGUUCAGGAACCCUCUACUCCCUCAGAUGAGGAAUCAGAACAUACAUCCGGAUCCAGAAGCCCAAGUGGUGGCGCUCGGACCGAUUGGGAGAAUAUUGAAGGGGGCAGUACGUGCCAUAGGUCAUCAUUAACGAUAACCUCUUAAUAGCUAUAGUCGAGGCUCGUCCUGCCCUGUGGGAUUCGUCCGCCCCCUACCAUGCCAAGUGCCAAUACACCAAGGCUCUUUGGAAUGAGAUUUACAGCGCCAUGUGUAAUUUCUGGGACCUGUCACCUAAUGAAAGAUGCAUUAUUGGCGACCAGAUAAAACAUUACUGGGUAUCCAUCAGGGACCGACACAUGCAGGACCUAAGGGAGGAGGAAUAGAGGCCAAGUGGAUCGGGUGCCUCCACCAAAACCCCAUAAAUAUACCGGCCACUCCUUGGGUUCCUCCAAAAAUGCCAUAACAUGCGGAAGUAUGGCAAAUUAUAUUUAUUUAUUCUUUUAAAAUAUUUUUUGUAAAUAAACUAAUUAAUUUUUUAUUCUCUUUCAGAACACACUGCAGUGUGAGGACACAAAAGCAGACCCUCGCUGUUGCACCACCCUCCCUUCCCCAGCCCCCGACACUGCUGAUCAAGGGCAAGAGCCUUCUCCCCUACCAGCUUCCUCAUCAUCCCGACCAAGUUGCCAGAGGAUCGAAACAUCCUUUGGAGAUUUGGUCCGGCCGCUGAGGACUGGUAGGAGACGGCAUGGGAUCCUUGAAGAUCUCAUAAAGCUCACAAAGGAGAGCUUUAUUAGAUUGGAUGAUAGAGUGGAAGCCUUGAGGGAGGAGCUUUGCCAGUUACGGCAGGCGGGGGCAGGGCCGUCAACUGGUCCCUCUUCAGACUUUCUACUCUAUCUCCAGAACCAAGCUCCCAUGAUGGAGAAACUGCCCCUUGAUAAGCAGUGUCAGUUCCACAAGGAGCCAUUUGAGCUUCUGUCUAGACUCUGCUGCCCCCCUCCCACCACCCCCCUUCUCCACUCCCCUUCCUUGUCCAUGUCCCCUGCCCAAAGUACUAUCCGUUCCCGUCACCGUUCCCGUUCCCCUUCCUGUCACCAUUACAGUCACCGCACCUGUUCUCCACACUAUUCCCGUCACCGCUCCCCACCUUAUUCCCGUCAACGCUCCAGUCACCACUCCCGUUCCCCUUCCUAUGGCCGUUACCCUUUCCUUUCCACUUCCCAUUCACACGGCCGUGAACUUUCCCCUCCCCAUUAUCCCCAGUCCAUGUACCACACCCUGCCCCACUCCCUGGGACAUUCCCAGCAUUUGGGCCAGUUAUCCACCCCUACAAGUAGUAUGGUCCAAAUGCUGUCCUAGGGAGAAACUUCUGCCCAUUCCACCCCUUCCUUCACAUCUCCCAGUGUCCCUCUGCCCCCUAAUAUUCCCACCCAUUCAACACCUUUCCGACAAAUUUAUUUCUCCCAAUUACAUUCCUACUCCCUGGAUACCUCUAUUCCCAGAUUCCAUUCAGAAAGAAGAAUAGACUCCUUGCAGCCCCCGGAGGACCCCAGCUCCCAAGACCCUUCCCAAGCCCCCCACCAGCUCACCUUUACAGAUUAAUAGAGAAAAAGCCCUUUACCAAA